rnacentral:rRNA from 1 species
UUCAACAUGGAACGAGUGGCGGACGGGUGAGUAACACGUGGGUAACCUGCCCUUAAGUGGGGGAUAACAUUUGGAAACAGAUGCUAAUACCGCAUAGAUCCAAGAACCGCAUGGUUCUUGGCUGAAAGAUGGCGUAAGCUAUCGCUUUUGGAUGGACCCGCGGCGUAUUAGCUAGUUGGUGAGGUAAUGGCUCACCAAGGCGAUGAUACGUAGCCGAACUGAGAGGUUGAUCGGCCACAUUGGGACUGAGACACGGCCCAAACUCCUACGGGAGGCAGCAGUAGGGAAUCUUCCACAAUGGACGCAAGUCUGAUGGAGCAACGCCGCGUGAGUGAAGAAGGCUUUCGGGUCGUAAAACUCUGUUGUUGGAGAAGAAUGGUCGGCAGAGUAACUGUUGUCGGCGUGACGGUAUCCAACCAGAAAGCCACGGCUAACUACGUGCCAGCAGCCGCGGUAAUACGUAGGUGGCAAGCGUUAUCCGGAUUUAUUGGGCGUAAAGCGAGCGCAGGCGGUUUUUUAAGUCUGAUGUGAAAGCCCUCGGCUUAACCGAGGAAGCGCAUCGGAAACUGGGAAACUUGAGUGCAGAAGAGGACAGUGGAACUCCAUGUGUAGCGGUGAAAUGCGUAGAU